rnacentral:lncRNA from 1 species
GCCUGCGUGGGGCUCGGGGCGCACGUGUCGCGGGAAAUGGAGUGGACACCGGGGGCUUCAGGGGAAGACAUCCAAACGACCGGGAGUCACGCGUGGACUCUUUCGCGCGAGGUUACCAAGCAUGUCCUGAAGAUGAAGAUACUCUCAGCCUAACGUCUCCAAGCAAAUAUUGAUUCAGCAGUAUCCCCAGGCAAAGCCACACCAUAUAUCAGUGAACAGAGAAACAACUGCCCUUCUCCGGGCCCCUGUCUGAGAAGCUGGAGCAUCAGCCCUGGAGCUCUCCGGAGCAGUUUCCUUGCUCACUGUCCCCAGCUGAACACAGCCGCAUGCAGAGGUCCAAAGCACGUAAACAGGAUACCCACCCUGCAUUAUCUUAUAUUUUAAGUCAAUAUGAAGAUGGACAUUCUACCCCUGAGACCAAUUUCGAUCAAAUACUUUUGUCAAUAAAAAGAUACUAAUGUC